CGCGGCGCCGGAGGUGGAGAUGGCGUUCGCCUGGGCGACGUCGACGUUGUACAGCUUGGCCAUGGCGGCGGCCUCGGUGGUGCAACCGCCCGAGUCGAGGGUGUGGACGAGGUAGAAGAUGCUGGCCUUGCACGUCUUGACCGCUUUGUUAUAGGCGCAUCGCAAGUCGGCGUUGCAGGUGGCCUCGUCCUUCGCGAUGGGACCGCAGACAUUUUCGUUGUGCAUCGACUGCUUGACGUGCGCCAACUGGAGAGCGGUCGCG
rnacentral:lncRNA from 1 species